AACGAACGCUGGCGGCAUGCCUAACACAUGCAAGUCGAACGAGACCUUCGGGUCUAGUGGCGCACGGGUGCGUAACGCGUGGGAACCUGCCCUUCGGUUCGGAAUCACUCCCCGAAAGGGGUGCUAAUACCGGAUAAUGUCUUCGGACCAAAGAUUUAUCGCCUUUGGCUGGGCCCGCGUUGGAUUAGCUAGUUGGUAGGGUAAAAGCCUACCAAGGCGACGAUCCAUAGCUGGUCUGAGAGGAUGAUCAGCCACACUGGGACUGAGACACGGCCCAGACUCCUACGGGAGGCAGCAGUGGGGAAUAUUGGACAAUGGGCGAAAGCCUGAUCCAGCAAUGCCGCGUGAGUGAUGAAGGCCUUAGGGUUGUAAAGCUCUUUUACCCGGGAUGAUAAUGACAGUACCGGGAGAAUAAGCUCCGGCUAACUCCGUG
rnacentral:rRNA from 1 species